AGAGUUUGAUCCUGGCUCAGGAUGAACGCUAGCUACAGGCUUAACACAUGCAAGUCGAGGGGCAGCAUGAGAUUAGCUUGCUAAUCUUGAUGGCGACCGGCGCACGGGUGAGUAACGCGUAUCCAACCUUCCCUUUACUCUGGGAUAGCCCGGUGAAAACCGGAUUAACACCGGAUGGGUUCACAUGACGGCAUCAGACUGUGAAUAAAGGUUACGGUAAAGGAUGGGGAUGCGUCUGAUUAGCUUGUUGGCGGGGUAACGGCCCACCAAGGCAACGAUCAGUAGGGGUUCUGAGAGGAAGGUCCCCCACAUUGGAACUGAGACACGGUCCAAACUCCUACGGGAGGCAGCAGUGAGGAAUAUUGGUCAAUGGACGAGAGUCUGAACCAGCCAAGUAGCGUGCAGGAUGACGGCCCUAUGGGUUGUAAACUGCUUUUGUACGGGAAUAAAGUGACCUACGUGUAGGUUUUUGCAUGUACCGUAAGAAUAAGGACCGGCUAAUUCCGUGCCAGCAGCCGUGGUAAUACGGAAGGUCCGGGCGUUAUCCGGAUUUAUUGGGUUUAAAGGGAGCGUAGGCCGUGCUUUAAGCGUGUUGUGAAAUGUAGGCGCCCAACGUCUGCACUGCAGCGCGAACUGGAGCACUUGAGUACGCAGGAAGUAGGCGGAAUUCGUCGUGUAGCGGUGAAAUGCUUAGAUAUGACGAAGAACUCCGAUUGGGAAGCCAGCUUACUGUAGCGCCACUGACGCUGAUGCUCGAAAGCGUGGGUAUCGAACAGGAUUAGAUACCCUGGUAGUCCACGCGGUAAACGAUGGAUGCUCGCUGUAUGCCUUUUUGGUAUGUGGCCAAGGGAAACCAUUAAGCAUCCCACCUGGGGAGUACGCCGGCAACGGUGAAACUCAAAGGAAUUGACGG
rnacentral:rRNA from 1 species